CUACUGGGCAUGGCUCCAUUUGGUCUCAGACACCCAUGGAGCUGUUUUGAACAGAGGAGAGAAAUUCAGGAUUCUACUCAGCCCCUUAACUGGUGUUUGUUUGGAAGCUCACCAUUUGUUUAUCCAACUCUCCUAAAUCAAUCUUCAAUUCAUCUUGCUCAUGGUGUUCCCCAUGUUAUCAUCAUUUGUGCUAAUCUGAGGAUUUGGUGAUGCUGCAUUUCCUGUGAUAUUCCUACGUUGCUCCUGCGAGUUUAUAUUUUCAACCUUCUGAAACCUCCCGUGCAAGAUUUGAUGCUGAUGUUGAUGACAUCACCCAAAAACAUUGACAGGAGGUUUGCAGACCAAGUUUAUACAGCAACUCUUGGACCACUGACUCUAAAACGCACAGAAAAAUGCAAUUGAUCCAGAACAGCCCAAGGAAUGUUAAAUAUUUUUU